AAGAAAUUGAAGUAUUUACUACAUUCAAAGUACCUACUAUUAUUUUAAAUCAAUAUAUUGCGUUCGUCAUUUCGCUUCUUAAUAUUUUUGUUUUAAACAAUAAUAUCAUUAUAAUAUAAUAAUUUUAUAUGCACAAGGAAUUGUAUAUACAGAUAAUUAUGGGUCAUGCAUAAAAUACUUAUUCCGAUAUAGCAUCCCUGUAUGGUAUAAAAAAAUUGUAUUGCCAUAAUUUAGUAUUCAUAUACACAGGGUACAAAAUAAGCACAUAUUUACAAUGGUCCCGUUUAGUAUUUUAUUUACAUUAGCCAACAUUUUUCUAGAAAAAGUUAGUGUUUUCUAUAUAAUUUUUUUUUUCGGUAAAUUUUAUCUUAUUGUACAAGCGUCUUUUUAUAUAACAGCUUUUUUUAUUAUACAGAGUGUUCGACUCGUAACUAUGUUCCGUAAGUGGGGGGUUCCGUAGGUGUUUAUAGAUCUGAUAGGGGUUCUUAAUUUUUUUUAUAUAACUAAGUAGCAAACAGGCGUACGGCUCACCUGAUGGUAAGCGAUUACGAUAGCUUAUAGACGUCUUGCCGACCCUAUCCACGAUUCCCUUCAGGAACUGUGGUGUUCUUACUCACCAACAGGAACACAACACUGCUUGAAAAUAGUAUUAUUUAGCUGUGAUCUUCUGUAAGGUCGAGGUACUAACCCAGUCGGGCUGCUCCAUAUUUUGAGCAGGAAAUUUUCUGCUGUACCCUACCUCAGUUUAACCGUCUAUUUAAACAAAGCCAAGUUUUAAAAUGGGUUAGAUUUUUUGUCCGCGCGUAUCGUGAUCUACACAUAUAAAACCUCAUUUGAACGAACGUAGUUAGGAAUCGAACUCAUGUAUGUAUGUAGUAAUACAAGUAAACGGUACUGUUCCGUGU
rnacentral:misc_RNA from 1 species